rfam:Zea mays cultivar B73 chromosome 9, whole genome shotgun sequence.
AGCUGCGCAGCGAGCACAAAGCGAACUAUUCUUUCGCCUUUUACUAAAGAAUACCGUGUGCUUGCUGCAUUAAGCAGCAUACAAAUAUUUUUGAAGGGUUCCACCUCAGUGAGGAGCC